rnacentral:tRNA from 1 species
UGCGAGAUAGAGAAGUCUGGUCAUCUCACAAGGCUCAUAACCUUGAGGUCGGAGGUUCAAAUCCUUCUCUCGCAUCCA